UACGUAGGGCGCAAGCGUUGUCCGGAAUUAUUGGGCGUAAAGAGCUCGUAGGCGGUCUGUUACGUCCGCUGUGAAAACCCAGGGCUUAACCCUGGGCUUGCAGUGGAUACGGGUAGACUAGAGGCAGGUAGGGGAGAAUGGAAUUCCCAGUGUAGAGGUGAAAUUCGUAGAUAUUGGGAAGAACACCGGUGGCGAAGGCGGCUCACUGGCUCAUUACUGACGCUCAGGCGCGAUAGCGUGGGGAUCAAACAGG
rnacentral:rRNA from 1 species